ACUUUCAGAGUCAGCUGAAGGCAGACGGACUGUUCAGAACAUCACAUUGUUGGACUGGAGAAAGAGCCUCAUUUAAAAGCACAAGUUAUUCAAAUUUCUUGGUUACCUUAAGGGCUUCAAUUAACCAAGCUUCAAAUGGCAGAUUCUCAACUGUUUCCUGAAAGGUGGGAUAUAUGCAAUGUCAUUUUUAUCCAUCACUGUUUUUAAAAGCAUAUUCAAAAUUUACUAAAGAAAUGUAAGUACUGGUUGCAUAUACAACAUAUAUUUUAGAAGAUUUUAUGACUUUGUUAACAUUAGUUUUUAACAUUGUUAA